GACGAACGCUGGCGGCGUGCUUAACACAUGCAAGUCGAACGGAAAGGCCCUGCUUUUGUGGGGUGCUCGAUUGGCGAACGGGUGAGUAACACGUGAGUAACCUGCCCUUGACUUUGGGAUAACUUCAGGAAACUGGGGCUAAUACCGGAUAGGAGCUCCUGCUGCAUGGUGGGGGUUGGAAAGUUUCGGCGGUUGGGGAUGGACUCGCGGGUUAUCAGCUUGUUGGUGGGGUAGUGGCUUACCAAGGCUUUGACGGGUAGCCGGCAUGAGAGGGUGACCGGCGACAUUGGGACUGAGAGACGGCGCAGACUCCUACGGGAGGCAGCAGUGGGGAAUAUUGCACAAUGGGCGGAAGCCUGAUGCAGCAACGCCGCGUGCGGGAUGACGGCCUUCGGGUUGUAAACCGAUUUCGCCUGUGACGAAGCGUGAGUGACGGUAAUGGGUAAAGAAGCACCGGCUAACUACGUG
rnacentral:rRNA from 1 species